rnacentral:lncRNA from 1 species
CCGGGGCAAUCGUGGGAGCAGCAUUGGGUGGUUGGAUUAAUGAUGCCUAUGGUCGAAAGAAGGCCACCCUCUUUGCCGAUGUUAUCUUUACCGCCGGAGCAAUAAUCAUGGCUUCUGCUCCAGAUCCUUAUGUUCUCAUUUUGGGACGCCUUCUGGUUGGUUUGGGUGUGGGCAUAGCUUCUGUCACUGCUCCCGUUUAUAUUGCAGAAGCAUCACCUUCCGAAAUAAGGGGUUCAUUAGUCAGCACAAAUGUCCUCAUGAUAACCGGUGGACAGUUUCUUUCCUAUCUUGUUAACCUCGCUUUUACUGGUGUUCCUGGUACUUGGCGAUGG